rnacentral:tRNA from 1 species
AUUUAAAUAGCUUAUAUAGAGUGUAGUAUUGAAGAUACUAAGGAAAUAAAAAUUAUUUUUAAAUA